GCUGCCUCCAUUUGUCUGCUUCAGCUAAAUCUCGACACUCUGAGGCUAAAUAUGGGCGCCGUUCUUUGGGCUUUUUCUUUUCUUCUUCUUUCAUUGUGAUGAAUCGAUUUAACAUUGACUGGGCUUUCUCUUCAUUACGCGCCAUGGCUGGUUCUGUGAAUUGCGAAGAACUGAAACGCUACAGAUUUACAUUGACUGGGCUUUCUCUUCAUUACGCGCCAUGGCUGGUUCUCUGAAUUGCGAAGAACUGAAACCCUACAGAUUUUUCAGCUGGGGAUUUGGGGGGAAAUCCUAAACCCUAGAAGAAGAGCAAUUUCAGAAGUUUAUGAGAGAAGCUUUUGGCUUUAUUCAGAUUUUCGGGGGUUGUGUUGCGGUUCAGUAGCUAUCAAGUGUAUCGAACGAUGUCGUGUGGAUUUCUCAAUUUUAUUUUAGUUUUGAAUCUUAAACCUACAUGUUAGUAGGAUAAAGUUGUAGUAGUAAAAAAAUAGUACUCCUUCUGUUCUAAUUAUGUGAACCUAUU
rnacentral:lncRNA from 1 species